rnacentral:rRNA from 1 species
ACUCCUACGGGAGGCAGCAGUGGGGAAUAUUGCACAAUGGGCGCAAGCCUGAUGCAGCAACGCCGCGUGCGGGAUGACGGCCUUCGGGUUGUAAACCGCUUUCAGUAGGGACGAAGGUAACCUGACGGUACCUACAGAAGAAGGACCGGCCAACUACGUGCCAGCAGCCGCGGUGAUACGUAGGGUCCGAGCGUUGUCCGGAAUUAUUGGGCGUAAAGGGCUUGUAGGCGGUCUGUCACGUCGGAAGUGAAAACUCAGGGCUUAACCCUGAGCCUGCUUCCGAUACGGGCAGACUAGAGGGAUGCAGGGGAGAACGGAAUUCCUGGUGGAGCGGUGGAAUGCGCAGAUAUCAGGAGGAACACCGGUGGCGAAGGCGGUUCUCUGGGCAUUUCCUGACGCUGAGAAGCGAAAGCGUGGGGAGCAAACAGGAUUAGAUACCCUGGUAG